rnacentral:rRNA from 1 species
UGGGGAAUAUUGCACAAUGGAGGAAACUCUGAUGCAGCGACGCCGCGUGAGUGAAGAAGUAUUUCGGUAUGUAAAGCUCUAUCAGCAGGGAAGACAGUGACGGUACCUGACUAAGAAGCUCCGGCUAAAUACGUGCCAGCAGCCGCGGUAAUACGUAUGGAGCAAGCGUUAUCCGGAUUUACUGGGUGUAAAGGGAGUGUAGGUGGCAUCACAAGUCAGAAGUGAAAACCCGUGGCUCAACCGCGGAACUGCUUUUGAAACUGUGGGGCUGGAGUGCAGGAGAGGCAAGUGGAAUUCCUAGUGUAGCGGUGAAAUGCGUAGAUAUUAGGAGGAACACCAGUGGCGAAGGCGGCUUGCUGGACUGUAACUGACACUGAGGCUCGAAAGCGUGGGGAGCAAACAGGAUUAGAUACC